GCGUUUAUGAUGACAAACAUACAUCAUGAAGAGAGAUCGUGUCAUAAAAUUCAUGACCAAAGAAUAAUGCUGAGGCCC